rnacentral:rRNA from 1 species
AAUGAACGCUGGCGGCAGGCCUAAAACAUGCAAGUCGAGCGCCCUAGCAAUAGGGAGCGGCGCACGGGUGAGUAACACGUGGGAAUAUGCCUUUUGGUACGGAACAACCUCGGGAAACUGAGGCUAAUACCGUAUGGUCCCUUCGGGGGUAAAGAUUUAUCGCCAAAAGAGUAGCCCGCGUUGGAUUAGCUAGUUGGUAAGGUAACGGCUUACCAAGGCGACGAUCCAUAGCUGGUCUGAGAGGACGAUCAGCCACACUGGGACUGAGACACGGCCCAGACUCCUACGGGAGCAGGCAGUUAGGAAUCUUGUGCAAU